rnacentral:rRNA from 1 species
AUUGAACGCUGGCGGCAGGCCUAACACAUGCAAGUCGAGCGGAGCGGCGGACGGGUGAGUAAUACCUAGGAAUCUGCCUGGUAGUGGGGGAUAACGUUCGGAAACGGACGCUAAUACUGCAUACUAUCAGAUGAGCCUAGGGCGGAUUAGCUAGUUGGAGGGGUAAUGGCUCACCAAGGCUACGACCCGUAACUGGUCGGAGGGGAUGAUCAGUCACACGGGAACGGAGACACGGUCCAGACUCCUACGGGAGGCAGCAGGGGGGAAUAUUGGAAAAUGGGCGAAAGCCUGAUCCAGCCAUGCCGGGUGUGUGAAGAAGGUCUUCGGGUUGUAAAGCACUUUAAGUUGGGAGGCGUUACCGACAGAAUAAGCACCGGCUAACUCUGUGCCAGCAGCCGCGGAAAUC